AUACGUAGGUGACAAGCGUUAUCCGGAUUUACUGGGCGUAAAGGGCGUGUAGGCGGUCUUGCAAGUCAGAAGUGAAAUUCCUGAGCUCAACUCGGGCGCUGCUUCUGAAACUGCAGGACUUGAGUGCUGGAGGGGAUAGCGGAAUUCCCAGUGUAGCGGUGGAAUGCGUAGAGAUUGGGAGGACCACCAGUGGCGAAGGCGACUUACUGGGCCGUAACUGACGCUGAGGCGCGAAAGCGUGGGGAGCGAACAGGAUUAGAUACCCUGGUAGUCCACGCGGUAAACGAUGAAUGCUAGGUGUUGCGGGUAUCGACCCCUGCAGUGCCGGAGUAAACACAAUAAGCAUUCCGCCUGGGGAGUACGGCCGCAAGGUUGAAACUCAAAUGAAUUGGCGGGG
rnacentral:rRNA from 1 species